GACGAGCCACCCGAACGUUAUUCGGAAUUACUGGGCUUAAAGGGUGCGUAGGCGGUGCAGCAAGUCGGGAGUGAAAUACCUCAGCUUAACUGAGGAACUGCUUUCGAUACUGCUGUGCUUGAGUAAGACAGAGGUAAGCGGAACUUAGGGUGGAGCGGUGAAAUGCGUUGAUAUCCUAAGGAACACCGGUGGCGAAGGCGGCUUACUGGUCUUAACUGGACGCUGAGGCACGAAGCCAGGUAGCAAACGGG
rnacentral:rRNA from 1 species